UACAGAGGUCCCAAGCGUUGUUCGGAAUCACUGGGCGUAAAGGGCGUGUAGGCGGCUGAAUGAGUGGGAUGUUAAAUCCCCCGGCUCAACCGGGGAACUGCAUCUCAUACUGUCAGCUUGGGUACAGCAGAGGAGACUGGAAUUCCCGGUGUAGCGGUGAAAUGCGUAGAUAUCUGGAGGAACACCGGUGGCGAAGGCGACAUCCUGGACCGGCAUGACGCUGAGGCGCGAAAGCCAGGGAGCAACGGG
rnacentral:rRNA from 1 species